rnacentral:siRNA from 1 species
AUUGGCUCCUGCAAAUCCUAA